rnacentral:rRNA from 1 species
AUUGACCGCUGGCGGAAUGCUUUACACAUGCAAGUCGAACGGCAGCACGGGUGCAAUCCUGGUGGCGAGUGGCGAACGGGUGAGUAAUGUAUCGGAACGUGCCCAGUCGUGGGGGAUAACGUAGCGAAAGCUACGCUAAUAACGCAUACGAACUAUGGAUGAAAGCGGGGAUUGCAAGACCUCGCGCGAUGGGAGCGGCCGAUAUCAGUUUAGGUAGUUGGUGGGGUAAAGGCCCACCAAGCAUGCGAUCUGUAGCUGGUAUGAGGGGACGACCAGCGGCACUGGAACUGAAACACGGUCCAGACUCUUACGGGAGGCAGCAGUGGGGAAUUUUGGACAAUGGGCGAAGGCCUGAUCCAGCCAUUCCGCGUGCAGGAUGAAGGCCCUCGGGUUGUAAACUGCUUUUGUACAGAACGAAAAGGUUUCUACUAAUAAUAGGAGCUCAUGACGGUACUGUAAGAAUAAGCACCGGCUAACUACGUGCCAGCCGCCGCAGUAA